CCUACGGGUGGCAGCAGUGAGGAAUAUUGGUCAAUGGGCGGGAGCCUGAACCAGCCAAGUAGCGUGAAGGAGGACGGCCCUACGGGGUGUAAACUUCUUUUAUAAAGGAAUAAAGUGAGGCACGUGUGCCUUGUUGUAUGUACCUUAUGAAUAAGGAUCGGCUAACUCCGUGCCAGCAGCCGCGGUAAUACGGAGGAUCCGAGCGUUAUCCGGAUUUAUUGGGUUUAAAGGGAGCGUAGGUGGGUUGUUAAGUCAGUUGUUAAAGUUUGCGGCUCCACCGUCAAAUUGCCCUUGAUACUGGCAGUCUUGAGUACACUUGAGGUAGGCGGACUUCGUUGUGUAGCGGUG
rnacentral:rRNA from 1 species